UGGCAGAUAGCUCAGUAACACGUGGCCAAACUACCCUGUCGAUCGGGACACCCUCGGGAAACUGAGGCUAAUCCCGGAUACGGCUCGCUGCCUGGAGUUGGCGCGAGCCCGAAACGUUCAGGCGCGACAGGAUGUGGCUGCGGCCGAUUAGGUAGACGGUGGGGUAACGGCCCACCGUGCCGAUAAUCGGUACGGGUUGUGAAAGCAAGAGCCCGGAGACGGAAUCUGAGACAAGAUUCCGGGCCCUACGGGGCGCAGCAGGCGCGAAACCUUUACACUGCACGCGAGUGCGAUAGGGGGACUCCAAGUGCGAGGGCAUACAGUCCUCGCUUUUCACCACCGUAAGGAGGUGGUAGAAUAAGUGCUGGGCAAGACCGGUGCCAGCCGCCGCGGUAAUACCGGCAGCACGAGUGAUGACCGCUAUUAUUGGGCCUAAAGCGUCCGUAGCCGGCCGGGCAAGUCCAUCGGGAAAUCCGCACGCCUAACGUGCGGGCGUCCGGUGGAAACUGUUCGGCUUGGGACCGGAAGAUCCAGAGGGUACGUCUGGGGUAGGAGUGAAAUCCUGUAAUCCUGGACGGACCACCGGUGGCGAAAGCGCUCUGGAAAGACGGAUCCGACGGUGAGGGACGAAAGCUUGGGUCACGAACCGGAUUAGAUAC
rnacentral:rRNA from 1 species